ACUCCUACGGGAGGCAGCAGUGGGGAAUAUUGCACAAUGGGCGCAAGCCUGAUGCAGCCAUGCCGCGUGUAUGAAGAAGGCCUUCGGGUUGUAAAGUACUUUCAGCAGUGAGGAAGGUGUUGUCGUUAAUAGCGGCCUCAUUUGACGUUAGCUGCAGAAGAAGCACCGGCUAACUCCGUGCCAGCAGCCGCGGUAAUACGGAGGGUGCGAGCGUUAAUCGGAAUUACUGGGCGUAAAGCGCAUGCAGGUGGUUUGUUAAGUCAGAUGUGAAAGCCCGGGGCUCAACCUCGGAAUUGCAUUUGAAACUGGCAGACUAGAGUACUGUAGAGGGGGGUAGAAUUUCAGGUGUAGCGGUGAAAUGCGUAGAGAUCUGAAGGAAUACCGGUGGCGAAGGCGGCCCCCUGGACAGAUACUGACACUCAGAUGCGAAAGCGUGGGGAGCAAACAGGAUUAGAUACCCUGGUAGGAUAGCG
rnacentral:rRNA from 1 species